rnacentral:miRNA from 1 species
GCUCUGACAAUAUUGCACUACU